rnacentral:rRNA from 1 species
UACGUAGGGGGCAAGCGUUAUCCGGAUUUACUGGGUGUAAAGGGAGCGUAGACGGUGAUGCAAGUCAGAAGUGAAAGCCCGGGGCUCAACUCCGGGACUGCUUUUGAAACUGUGUGACUGGAGUGCAGGAGAGGUAAGCGGAAUUCCUGGUGUAGCGGUGAAAUGCGUAGAUAUCAGGAGGAACACCAGUGGCGAAGGCGGCCGCCUGGCCUGUUGCUGACGCUGAGGCACGAAAGCGUGGGGAGCAAAUAGG